GCAGUCGAACGGAAGUACCUUCGGGUACUUUAGUGGCGAACGGGUGAGUAAUACAUAGGUAACCUACCCUUAAGACGAGGAUAGCCAUUGGAAACGAUGGAUAAAACUGGAUAGGAUAUAGAGGAAGAAUCUUUUAUAUUUAAAAGAGAGAUCUGCUUAAGGAGGGGCCUGUGGCGCAUUAGCUAGUUGGUGGGGUAAGGGCCUACCAAGGCGAUGAUGCGUAGCCGGACUGAGAGGUUGAACGGCCACAAUGGAACUGAGAACGGUCCAUACUCCUACGGGAGGCAGCAGUAGGGAAUUUUCGGCAAUGGGGGGAACCCUGACCGAGCAACGCCGCGUGAACGAAGAAGUUAUUCGUAAUGUAAAGUUCUUUUAUCAGGGAAGAAAGAGGAAUUUGACGGUACCUGAGGAAUAAGCUCCGGCUAACUACGUGCCAGCAGCCGCGGUAAUACGUAGGGAGCGAGCGUUAUCCGGAAUUAUUGGGCGUAAAGGGUGCGUAGAUGGCAUAGUAAGUCUUUUGUAAAAAUGCUGGGCUCAACCCAGUAGGGCAAAAGAUACUGCAAAGCUAGAGUAUGACAGAGGCAAGUGGAACUACAUGUGUAGCGGUAAAAUGCGUAAAUAUAUGUAAGAACACCAGUGGCGAAGGCGGCUUGCUGGGUCGAUACUGACAUUGAGGCACGAAAGCGUGGGGAGC
rnacentral:rRNA from 1 species